rnacentral:lncRNA from 1 species
GUGGACAUCUCCACACAGGAGCCAGGGAGUAGCAUGCCUAAGGCCGAAUACUGAACCUUUUAAGAUCAACGGGCGUCUUUCAAUGGACUUCAGUGGAUUAGGCCCUUAAAAAAAUAAGGUGUCUAACUUUUUCCGCAUAUGUAAUAAUGUACGUUUUCCCUAGAAUUCUUCAGGAAACAAAUUCAACCCCGGACUAAGACUGAGCACGAGAAGUUCCAGGCUGAACUUUGGGGGAAAUGAUACAUGACUGAAAUGGGGGGAUUUUUAAUGCCAAUUGUAAUGACAGAUUAUAUGAAACAGCUGGUCAAA